AUCCAGCUGACGAGUCCCAAAAAUAGGACGAAAUGUCACGCGUCAAACUGGAU
rnacentral:hammerhead_ribozyme from 1 species